GAGUGUGGAUGUAGUCGCCGAGUUGCAGAGGAUAGGGGACGAGGUGAAGAAGAUAGAGCAAUAGAUGGUGAACGUGAAGGAAAGUCAGGAGAAGCUUUAUGAGAUGAGAGGUUAGAUUAUUUAAAGGUGAUGUUAGGAGAAACUCAAGAAGCCAUACAACAGCAAGAAUCACAGGCACCAGAGCCAGUAGCAACAGAGGAAGCAACACAACAUGUGGAGAUAUCCUUACCACAGCAGAUAACAUUGCAAGAUGUGAUGGACAGCCUGGUGGGUCUUGAAGAGCAGCAGAGACUCAACCCAACGCCUGGAGUUGCAGCGCCUGUUUUUUGUCUUUGGGAUUGAAUAUUUGUUUCGUUGUCUUGCAGGUUGGUGAAGGUCAGACGACUUGUGCCAAGUGUCACAUGUUGUCACAAGCGGCAGGUAAUGACAUAAAAAGAAAGAUGGAAUUGGAGAGAGCUACAUGGUGUAUACAAGUAUAUUGACUUUUUUGUCACAAACUAUUUGUUUUGUGUCAGGCACAUCAGUGAGUGAGGAUGAAUGUUCUGUUUAUGUGUCUCGUGUUGUGCGUGCUGUCCAGCAUGUCUGCUCCAGCAGGUGGUAUGGCAUCGGUUCUGCUUGUGGCAAAACGUUUGAUCAACUCCAGCGACUCAAGUCCUUCCCAGACGACAGUGAUAAAGUGCAGGCUCUCUUUGAUCAGUUAGUACAGCAAAUGGGAAGGAAGGGAGCUGCAGACAAGCUGCUAGAGGCGUGUAACUCAAUGGUAAAUCCUACAUACGCUGCCGUGCGCGAAGAGAUGGAGAAAUGAAGUGUGGAGUAUUGACUGUUGGAUGACAUUUGAUAUCAAUACUGAUUGUUUAUUAGCUAUUAAUUAAUUAAAAUGUUGUUAUGUGUUGUUGUUGUGUUGGAUUGUUUGAUGUCUAUUAUAAUAUCUAGUAUUGUUCAUUUGUAUUGUUAUCAUGUAUGAAGCAGUCGUAUUGUUUGAAUAUUGUA